rnacentral:rRNA from 1 species
UACGGGGGGGGCAAGCGUUGUUCGGAAUUACUGGGCGUAAAGGGCUCGUAGGCGGCCAACUAAGUCAGACGUGAAAUCCCCAGGCUUAACCUGGGAACUGCGUCUGAUACUGGAUGGCUUGAGAUUGGGAGAGGGAUGCGGAAUUCCAGGUGUAGCGGUGAAAUGCGUAGAUAUCUGGAGGAACACCGGUGGCGAAGGCGACAGCCUGGACCAAAACUGACGCUGAGGAGCGAAAGCCAGGGGAGCAAACGGG